GCUGCUGUGUGGUUUUCUGGAGAGUCCACACUGCAGACUGGAGACUCUGAGAUUGAGGGGCUGCAGGUUGUCAGAGAUCAGCUGUGCUUCUCUGGCCUCAGCUCUGAAGUCCAACCCCUCCCAUCUGAGAGAACUGGUGCUAAAUAACAACAACCUGAGGGAUUCAAACGUGAAGCUGCUGUCUGAUCUUGUGGAGAGUCCACACUGCAGCCUGGAGACUCUGAGAUGGAAGUGAUCUCUGUCGGAGUGUGAGGGGUCAGAAAGGUGGAGGUGUUGAGAGAGGAUCAGCUGUGUCCUGAUGAUCCAGAGAGGUUGAAGCAGCAGCAUCAGCUUGUGUGUGGAGAGGCUCUGACUGGGCCAUGUUACUGGGAGGUAGAGUGGAGAGGAGAGCUUCAUCCAGCAGUGACUGACAGAGGAAUCCCAACAGUGCUGCAGUCUGAACUGCUCUGAGAUCAGCUCCACUGUCAGACGCAAAGUCAAGUCCACCAUCAUCCCUGUGUGUUCCUCUGAAUGUGACAGAGGAUCAUCAGUGGAUCUGGACUGCUCUGCUGCUGCUCUGUCCUUCUACACAGUCUCUGCAGACACACUGAGACUCCUCCACUCCUUCUGCUGCACACUCAGACACCUCCUCCAUCUGGACCUGGACUUUGUUUAGUUCAGAUGUUGUGGAGAGGUGGAGAACUACAGUUAAUCUUUACAUUAUAUUCCUGAUUCAUUUUUGAAGUUCAUGUGAAUAAGCAGUUCGCUCUCUGAAGCUUCUUACCACCAACACCAGACUUUUCUCUCAGUUUAACAGAUAAUAGUUUGUAACACAGAAACAAGAAGAUAAAACCUGUGGAAAGUUUGAAUUUAACGGAAGCUUCACUGAGGUAAACUGAGACACCAUCCUGAACACCUGAACAUUUUAAUAAAUUGUUUAUUUUAGUUUUUCUUUUGACAUGAAAGUAACACACAUAAACAUACUAACUCUAAACCUUAGUGUCAUUAUUAGGGAUUAAGAUUAUGGAAAUGACUGUGUUUUCUCAUAUCGUGACAGUUUAUAUUAUUGUAGAAUAAACAUUUAUGCUGAUAUUCAAAUCAAGUUCAGAGAGCGGAUAGACUCCAUCAGACCUGCUGUUACAUCCUGUUUUAUUUUGUGUUUCCCUUUGAUCAUCUGAUUGGCUGGCCCUUGUGCUGACUUGUGGGCUGUGUCUAUAUUGGUAGUCGAGUGUUCAACUCUCUCUCUGCUGCAUCCAGUUUUUUGUGGUGUUUGGUAUCGUUUUUUAUUCAUUUAUUCGUAUUCAAAUAAACUUGCAUGCAGUAAGCUCUUC